UCUAUUGUGAGAAUAUCUGUACUUUGAAAUUGCUUCGUUUUAAAGUAUUUUUUCUCUUUAGUUAAUUUGAAAUAAAAGUUCAUCAGAGUCCAAUGUUUAUAGAGAAUGGAGGCUCUUUAAUUAUGAACCAAGAGACGUUAACUUUGCUUGUGAACUGGGAAGCUCUGAGGGGAAAAAGGCUGCUAGUGGCAUCAGCUUGCACCAAUUUUCGUCAGCAAUAGUUAGUAAGAAGGAAGAACUAUAUGGGGAUUCUUCAUCUCUGAAAUCGAGAGACUUUGUUAUGUAUGCUGGAGGGCCUGUUUAGGGAUUGGAUUGGUGUCCAAGAGUCCAUAAAAGUCCCGAUUCUCAA